GUCUAUUUUAAAUAUAUAUAUAUAUAAAAUAUGAAUAGUAUUCUGCUCCCUCUAAAGAAUAUGAAUUUAUUCAUAGAAGCAUUGAUGACAUCUUUGACCGAGCUAGAUGUUUCAGCUUCUAGCAUAAAAGAAAAAACCUGAGAGAGAAACAGUGACCGUUGCCUACCCCAGCCCACUCAUUGUGUUUUUCAGAGGCACUUUUUAACUUUGAUAUCACCUGGGACAAUCCUGUUUUUGCAUAAUGACUCUGUCUCUUUCAUUUUUAUGUUCUAAAAUCCCACUCUGUUUGUGCACUUAAAAUAUCUAUGCCCUUUGUUUUCAAUGAACAGUGAAGAAUUCAUCUGGGUUCACCACAAUGCUUAGCAAUUCAUUCGGUUUGCCUUUCAAAGAUGAGGUGAUGUAUACACUUUGUACUGACAACAGUAUUAGAGAAUCCAACCUAAUGAAUGAAUUUUCAGCGGUAGGUAAGGAUUAUUAUGAUCCAAAGCCCAUCUAUUGGGCUGCAGCCCUCAUGUACAGCUGUCAGGAAAUUCUCCAAACCAUAGCAUUCUUAUCUUGUGAAAAAACAGAAAACCCUUCUGAAAUAUUUAUCUUUAUAAUACAUUCUAGAAUACAUUAUGUUCCAGUUAUUUUACCUUUCUCUCAUAUAAUUUAUGGAUCUUCAGCAAGAAUAAUAAGAAGAGAUGCACAGAGAACAAAAAGAAAAGCUGAGAGUGAAAAAUUUUAGAGCUACCACAAAAGAAGAGGAUUGAAAACCCUCUACAUUAUACUGAAGAAUAAUAACUAAUUGUACUUUUAAUUCAUAGUCUUCAUUAAGGCUAGCACCAGUCUAGUAAUUUUGUGACAUUCUUUAAAACCUAGCAUUAAAAUCUUUUUCCACAGA